GGCUUUCACAGAUUAUUUAAACGGUUAAGUCCCCAGGGAUACUAACAAGACAACACAUACUCACUAGGCUAGUGAACAGUGGUUGAAUAAUGUGUGAAAGUACACGAGCGGCGGACGGCUGAGUAACGCGUAGGAACGUACCCCAAAGUGAGGGAUAAGCACCGGAAACGGUGUCUAAUACCGCAUGUGAUCUAAGGAUUAAAGCCUUCGGGCGCUUUGGGAGCGGCCUGCGUAUGAUUAGUUUGUUGGUGAGGUAAUGGCUCACCAAGACUACGAUCAUUAGCUGGUCUGAGAGGAUGAUCAGCCAGACUGGGACUGAGACACGGCCCAGACUCCUACGGGAGGCAGCAGUAGGGAAUUUUCCACAAUGGGCGAAAGCCUGAUGGAGCAACACCGCGUGCAGGAUGAAGGCCCUAGGGUCGUAAACUGCUUUUAUGAGUGAUAGUUAUGAUAGUAGCUCAAGAAUAAGGGUCGGCUAACUACGUGCCAGCAGCCGCGGUCAUACGUAGGACCCAAGCGUUAUCCGGAAUUACUGGGCGUAAAGAGUUGCGUAGGCGGCUUAUUAAGCAAGGUGUGAAAUCGUACGGCUCAACCGUACACACAUACUUUGAACUGGUAAGCUAGAGUAUGGGAGAGGUUAUUGGAAUUCCAAGUGUAGGAGUGAAAUCCGUAGAUAUUUGGAGGAACACCGAUGGCGUAGGCAGAUAACUGGCCCAUUACUGACGCUCAGGCACGAAAGCGUGGGUAGCAGACGGGAUUAGAUACCCCGGUAGUCCACGCCCUAAACUAUGGAUGCUAGCUGUUGGUCGUAUCGACCCGAUCAGUAGCGAAGCUAACGCGUUAAGCAUCCCGCCUGUGGAGUACGGUCGCAAGACUAAAACAUAAAGGAAUUGACGGGGACCCGCACAAG
rnacentral:rRNA from 1 species